AUUUAAGAAAAACCCUUUUAAAAGCAGAAUAAAAUUCGCAGCUCAAUACAAAUCUCUCCAAAAAAUCGGGGUGUCACCGAGUACAUGAGAAUCCAUAACGGAAGAUAGUCUACUAUAAUGUCUAAAGAGUAAAACUAAAAUAUAAGUAAAGAUAAUGAAGGAGAGUUAAGGUCUCUGAACGUCAUGCAUCUAUCUCGAUAGUCUCCAAAGAUCUCGACUCCACAACUCAACAGCCGCCGUGACCGGAAGCACCUGGAUCUGCACAGGAGGUACGCGUGAGUACAACCAACUCAAUAAGUAACAAACCUUUGGACUGAAAGUAGUGACAUACUCAACCAGUACAGUUCAAUAUAGAAAUAACAGUGCAGAAACGUAGGCAUUCUUUCAAGUUCAACAAUUAAACUCAAUACAGUAAGAUAGAUCAAAUUUGAAUGAUAUGAAGAAUAUAACUCCUCUACUUCUAUAUGCCAUUGCACAUGUUGUAUGUGAUGCACCAUGCUGACAGCCUCAUGUGCUCAACUCUCAAAUGCUCUAUCAUUCAGUAUUAUAUAUGGCCAAUCCGACCAAGGGAAGCUCCAUCCCGGAAUAUAUACAUCAACUAACCAUCAGUCACUCAGUACUGAGCAGGGCCGAUCCAGCACGUGGGGAAGAUCCAUUCCCGGGUAUAAAUACUUCAGACAAGAUCCAUGUCCAGGGAAGAUCCAUCCCUCAAUAUAAAUUAACCGCGCUCACCGCGGUGUGUGCAAACUCCGAAGGGGCUCCUUCAGCCCAAACAUUAUCAUAAAUCAGUAUAAUAGCUGCGGCGUGCCGCCCGAUCCCAUAAAUGUCACUCAUAAUCAGGCCAUCAGCCUCACUCAAUCAUCAAUCUCUCCAAUCUCUCUCACGGGCUCACAAUGUCAUGAAACUAGAUGUAUCAAUAAAUAACAACAGAGACUGAGAUAUUAUAUGAAAUGAAUGAAUAUGGAUAAGUACGAAAUAUCAAUGAAAUCAGUAAGUCAACAACAAGAAACAAACACUAUGGGUCCCAACAGUACCAGCAUAUAACCUAAGCAUAAUCUCUAACAUGAUUGACAGCUCAAUUACUUUAUUACAUGACGAAAACACGAAUAUCAACAAGAUAGAACAACUAAAUAGUGUCAUGGAAUCGACCAUGUCACAAUUCUCACGGUGCACAACCACACGCCCGUCACUUGUCAUGUGCGUCACCUUAACACCAAUCACAUAACACAUAAUUUGGGGUUUCAAAUCCUCAAAGCCAAGUUUAGAAGUGUUACUUACCUCAAUCCAAGCAAAACUCUACUCCAACACGCCUUUGCCUCGCAAAUCGGCCUCCAAAUGUCCCGAAUCUAGCCACAAGCAGCACAAUACAAUCAAUACGGGCUAAAGGAAUAAAUUCCACAAGAAAUUACAAAGUUAUAACUCAAAAAUCUGAAAUCGGCUUAAGGCCCACGUCUCAAAAUCUGAAAAAAGUCACAAAACCCGAAAACCCAUCCAACCACGAGUCUAACCAUACCAAAUUUAUCAAAACCUGACACCAAAUCGCCACCCAAAUCCCCAAAUCAAGCUCUCUAAAUCUCUAGUCUCAAAGCUCCAAAUUAUACCUCAAAAAUACACAACUAGGUGAGAAAAUCAAUGGGAAAACAUAAUUAUUGGAGAAAUUUAACCACAUUUCACUUACCUCAAGAAUCCCUCUAAAAAUCGUCCAAAUUCGAGUUUGCAAAGUCUAGAAAUGAUAAAACCAUCCAACGUUUAUAUUCUGUCCAGGUUUUUCGCACCUACGACCAACUUAGUCGCUUUUGCGGCGUCGCAAAAGUGACCUACAAACCGCAUCUGCGGUUAAUUCUGCUCAUGUGGUCCCUCUCUACGCUCUGCGGACUCGCUUCUGGGAGAAAACCUCCGUUUCUGCGGAACCCAACUCUACUGCCCCUUCUGCUUCUGCGGUCUUCCUGCCGCAUUUGCGGUUACGCAGGUGCGGGAAAACAUUCGCACCUACGACCUUCUACUCACCUCUCUUCAGACUCCGCAUCUGCGGACCCUACCCUGUACCUGCGAGCUCGCAUCUGCGGUUCUCACUUCGUAGGUGCGAUUACACCAGUAGUUGCAAAUCUUUAGAAAUUCUUCAACUUCAAACCUUGGUCCGUUAACUACCCGAAAUCAACCUGAGGCCCCCCGGGAUCUCAACCAAACAUACCAUCGGGUACCAAAACAUCAUACGAACUUAGUCGAACCCUCAAAUCACCUCAAACGACAUCAAAAACACGAAUCACAUAUAGAUUCAAGCCUAAUGAACUUUGAAACCUCCAAUUUCUACAACUGACAUCGAAACCUAUCAAACCACGUCCGAUUGACCCCAGAAUUUGCACACAAGUUACAAAUAACACCACAGACCUACUCUAACUUCUGGAAUCCCAAUCCGACCCCGAUAUCAAAAAGUUCACCUCCGGUCAAACUUCCCAAAAUUUUAAUUUUUGCCAUUUCAAGCGUAAUUACACCACGGACCUCAAAAUCACAAUUCGGACAUGCUCCUAAGUCCAAAAUUACCAAACGGAGCUAACGGAACCAUCAAAAUUCAAAUUCGGGGUCGUUUACACAUAAGCCAACAUCCUGUCAACUUUUCCAACUUAAGCCUCCAACCUUGAGACUAAGUGUCUCAAUUCAUUUUGAAAUUCUUCCGAACUCGAACCGACUAACCCGGUAAGCCAUAUAAUAGCUAUAAAAUACAAAAGGACCGGUAAAUGGCUGAACGGUGCUAAAGCUCUCAAAAUGACCGGCCGUACCAUUACAUCCUCCCCCUCUUAAACAAACGUUCAUCCUCGAAUGGGUCUAGAAACAUACUUGGAAUCUCAAAUAGGUGUGAAUAUCUGCUUCGCAUCUCCCGCUCGGUCUCCCAAGUAGCCUCCUCAACUGGCUGACCUCUCUAUUGCACCUUAACUGAAGCUAUAUCCUUUGACCUCAACUUUCGAACGCAUUGAUCCAAAAUGGACACCGACUCCACAUCGUAAGUCAUAUUACCAUCCAACUGAACCGUGCUAAAAUCCAAAACAUGAGACGGAUCGUCGACAUACUUCCGAAGCAUAGAAACAUGAAAUAAUGGAUACACACUCGACAAACUAGAUGGCAAGCAAGCAUGUAAGCCACCUCCCCAAUCCUCUGAAGUACCUCAAACAGCCCAAUAAACCGAGUGCUCAACUUACCCUUCUUUCCAAACCUCAUAACACCUUUCAAUUCAGUACCCAAUUGCCUAGCCUCACCCGGCUUAAACCAACCCACGGAGAUCUACACCGUCUCUCAUACAAAGCCUUAUACAGAGCCAUCUGAAUGCUCGACUGAUAACUGUUAUUAUAGGCAAACUCCGCGAGCGGCAGAAACUCAUCCCAUGAACCCACAAAAUCAAUGACACAAGCGCGUAACAUGUCUUCCAAUAUCUGAAUAGUGUGCUUGGAUUAUCCGUCUGUUUGAGGGUGAAAUGUUGUACUCAACUCAACCUGGGUGCCCAACUUUCGCUACACGGCUCUCCAAAAUUGCAAUAUAAACUUCGUGCCCCGAUCUAAAAUGAUGGACACUGGCACACCGUGAAGGCAAACAAUCUCUCGAAUGUAAAUCUCAGCUAACCGCUCUGAAGAAUAAGUAGUACCAACUGGAAUAAAGUGCGCGGACUUGGUCAGCCGAUCUACAAUCACCCAAAUAGCGUCGAACUUCCUCGAAGUCCGUAGGAGCCCAACAACGAAAUUCAUGGUGAUUCGCUCCCACUUCCACUCUGGAAUCUCUAUCCUAUGAAGUAAUCGACCUGGUCUCUGAUGUUCAUACUUUACCUGCUGAAAGUUAAGGCAUCGAGCUACAAAUCACACUAUAUCCUUCUUCAUCCUCCUCUAACAAUAAUACUGCCUCAAGUUCUGGUACAUCUUCGCGGCAACCCGGAUGAAUGGAAUAUCGCGAGUUGUGGGACUCCUCAAGAAUCAACUCACGUAACCCACCUACAUUGGGCACACAUAUAUGGCCCUGCAUCCCCAACACCCCAUCAUAUCCAAUACUAACAUCUCUGGCAUCACCGUGCUGGACCUUGUCCUUGAGGAAAAAUAAAUGAGGAUCAUCAUACUGACGCUCUAUGAUGCAAUCAAAUAAGAAAGACCGAGAAAAUGUCACACCUCCUUUUUUACCUACACCCCCGGAAGGGAGUAUAUAAGGGAAUUUUUCCACUUGAAGUAACAAUCGAAGCGGGAUUAUUUUGUUAAAAUUCAGAGUCGCCACUUGGGAGGUUUAUGGUGUCCCAAGUCACCAGUUGAAUCCCGAAUCGAGGAAAACUUGACUCUGUUUAACAGUUCGCAAACCAGAAAUCCGAGUAAGGAAUUCUGUUAACCCGGAAGAAGGUAUUAGGCAUUCCCGAAUUCCGUGGUUCUAGCACGGUCGCUCAACUGUUAUAUUCGACUUAAUUAUCUGAGUUUAAUACAUUUCAAACCUAUGUGCAUUUUAACUCUAAACAGCUCUUAAUUAUUUUAAGGAAGAUUUCAACGUCAUCUAAAAUAUGUUUCAAACCACGUCACAUAAUGCACCUGCAGUCCGCAACACAUUUUAUUUAACAUUGAGAUUUGGAUUUGGGUCACAUAAAUGCGCACCCGAGUUUUGGGAGGUAAUUAUUAAAAUAACGCGCCUAAAGCAACUAUGCAUAUUCCACUUUGCGAGGGCCAUGGAAAUUCAACUAAAUGACACGCCUCGAUUUCUAAGGAUUCAAGUAUUAAUUAAGUGAGGGCCAUGCAUUUUAAGAUUUUAUUUGGCAUGGCGCACCUCAAUCUAAGGAGGGCUUUAUUAUUCGAAAUUGUUAUAAAAAUCGGGUUACAUGAAAUGCACCCCUGAAUUUGGGAAUUAGGCAUCAUGACUAUGUCACGGGAACCGUACUCAUAGCCACGAUGGUUUAUUUAUUAAUCGUGCCUAAAACAAGCUAUGAAUAAUCAUAAGUUAAUUAGUAAGUUGACAACAUUUAAACUCUUAUCAAACUAGACCAAACAAAAAUAAUCCAUUUGGUUUAUUAUAUCAAAUUGAAACCUCACAUGCUCAAAUUAAUUUGUCAAACAAAUCGUAUGCCUCACUCAAAAAUUCCUGGACAGAUUAUGAAUAUUAAGCCCAAACUCCUCGCAGUAUUAAUCAAACCCCAAACCCAAUUUUAAACCAACAAACCCCAAGAAUUAUUUAUUAAAAAAAAUGUAUUACAAAACUAAAACCUAUUGAAUGCUCAAUUUACCCAAAACUAACGAAGGCUUCACAUUUGCAUAGCCAGAUUGCCCACGGCCCACUUCAUUGCCUUUGAGAUGGAUUGAUUUACAAAUACCAAUUUAGGAUUAAAUAAUCAAAUUCAAAACAACAACUACAGAGCAACAUGCGUUCUUCCUCCAAUUAAACAUGAUUAAACAUUUUGAUACACUAAUAACAUUCAUCGUAUAAAUAUAAGUGACGCAGAGUAACACACAAAAAUAUAUGUAUAAUGAUAAAAAUGGAAUAGAAAAGUAAAGAAUUAACCUCAGCUGCUUUCCUUUUUAAAUAGCGAAAUUCAAUUACUGCAAAUUUUGGUGAGCUAGAUGCUACUAGGAAAUGAAAACAGGGACUAGCUUGAGCAGUGAACUCGUCGGCAACCUCGACUCAAUAGUAAAUGGAGUUUUCGAGAGAAUGAAAUUGAUUAGAGCUCAGCAGCUAUGGAGUUCGGUGGUGCUGGAGUUUGGGAUUCGACCUUACUGGCAAUACUUCUUUGCAGUCCAACGGCGGCAGAGGCGUGGAGAUUUGGUGUAGGUACGGCCGAAGAUUUUUCGGAAAUUCUGGCCAUUUCUCACUUUCUUUGGUGGAAGUGUGUCGUUGGUCUUUGGUGAAAUUCCAAGAAGAAGAAUCAAUGAUUUCCCAAAAUCGCAGAGCGGAAAGUUACGUUUUUCCUCAUUUCUUUUUUGCUUUGUUUCUAUGCCUCGUUUGUAUCUGGCUAUGGGGAAUUGAGGGGUCAAGGUGAUGGCUGCCGUUCUUGUGUGUUAGCUAGGUCUUGGUAUUGAAAAUCUUAG
rnacentral:lncRNA from 1 species